AGUGAACGCUGGCGGUAGGCCUAACACAUGCAAGUCGAACGGCAGCACGGUAAGAGCUUGCUCUUACGGGUGGCGAGUGUCGGACGGGUGAGGAAUACAUCGGAAUCUACUUUUUCGUGGGGGAUAACGUAGGGAAACUUACGCUAAUACCGCAUACGACCUACGGGUGAAAGCAGGGGAUCUUCGGACCUUGCGCGAUUGAAUGAGCCGAUGUCGGAUUAGCUAGUUGGCGGGGUAAAGGCCCACCAAGGCGACGAUCCGUAGCUGGUCUGAGAGGAUGAUCAGCCACACGGGAACUGAGACACGGUACAGACUCCUAAGGGAGGAAGCAGUGGGGAAUAUUGGACAAUGGGCGCAAGCCUGAUCCAGCCAUACCGCGUGGGUGAAGAAGGCCUUCGGGUUGUAAAGCCCUGUUGUUGGGAAAGAAAAGCAGCAGGUUAAUACGCCGCUGUUCUGACGGUACCCAAAGAAUAAGCACCGGCUAACUUCGUG
rnacentral:rRNA from 1 species